rnacentral:rRNA from 1 species
GACGAACGCUGGCGGCGUGCUUAACACAUGCAAGUCGAACGGAAAGGCCCUGCUUUUGUGGGGUGCUCGAGUGGCGAACGGGUGAGUAACACGUGAGUAACCUGCCCUGGACUUUGGGAUAACUUCAGGAAACUGGGGCUAAUACCGGAUAGGAGCUCCUGCUGCAUGGUGGGGGUUGGAAAGUUUCGGCGGUUGGGGAUGGACUCGCGGCUUAUCAGCUUGUUGGUGGGGUAGUGGCUUACGAAGGCUUUGACGGAUAGCCGGCCUGAGAGGGUGGACGGGCACAUUGGGACUGAGAUAGGGACCAGACUCCUACGGGAGGCAGCAGUGGGGAAUAUUGCACAAUGGGCGGAAGCCUGAGGCAGCAACGCCGCGUGCGGGAUGACGGCCUUCGGGUUGUAAACCGCUUUCGCCUGUGACGAAGCGUGAGUGACGGUAAUGGGUAAAGAAGCACCGGCUAACUACGUG